UCCAUGUUGAGACGCCGUAGUCAGUAUUAAUCUAAAAUAACUCAAGAAAUCUGUCAUUCAUUUGGAUGUUUUUGCCAAAGAGAUCUUAGUCGUGCAGUUUUACAUCUAACUAGGAUGUUUGGUACAGUAUUUCUCAUUUGCAUGAAAACAAAUCGUCUAUAGUUGUAUGACAAACACUUAAUUGAAGAUUCCCUACUGUUGACCAAUUACCGACGAAGGGGCGUAGGACUUCAGCUUCAGAACUUCGGCUUGCCUCCAGAAACAUUUUUAUGUGCACGAACAGCCGAAAAACCCUUGCCGAAACAAACGUCACAAAAUCUCGUCAUAAUACAGUAUAUCCACGAACUGUUCCAGGGCUGCGGGAAUGAGGGGGGAAAGCUCUGUGUUGUCCAGCUCGGCAGCAUAUCCCUGGAGAAGAAAAUCACAUUCAAAGCUAAUGAGUGACGGCUCAGUGAAAACAAUGAUAAUGUCAACACUUCUUUGAUAAUCUGAACCCAAUCAAAUCCUGUCCUCCACAUGGCUUUACACAUAACACUUGAAUGAACAUGAUAUGAACUUCAAUCAAUCACUGACAGUUUGAGUAGCCUAAUGACUCAUCUAAUCAAUAAAGACAGCACAUUUUAAGUUCAACAAAAGUUCACACGGCAUUCUGAAAUGGGCAGAUCUAAUGCAACAUUUACACUGCCGGUCAAUUCGAUUUUUAGAACAGGGUUUAAUUUUCCCUAGGUGCAGUAAACAGAGAAAGGAGUGCUUUCUCUACUGUCUCCUUGACAUUAUUGCCACUAACUGGCAGCGUUUCACAUGUCACGAGAGAGCCAAUUAAAGUAACAAACGCACCUCCAUGAUGCUCUGCAGCUCCUCGACGUACAGCCUCUCAGUUUCAAUCAGCUCAUUCAUGAUGUGUCUGGGGAGGAAAAAUACAGGAUCCGUCAAUACACAACAAUUGCAGAGAAGCCCUUUAGUCGUAUUUGUCAAUGCAGAUAGAUUAAUGAAACCCAUAAUGAGGACAUCAACUGCCUCUCAUACACUAAGUGCUUUGUCAAAGUUCUGAAUGACCAUCAACAUUGUCAUCGGGUUAUUGUACCAACUCAAAAGAGGCUCUGCUAAAGACAACAGUACAGCACCCCAGAUAGGAGGUACAAGGGAGGAAAUAAGACCUUUGGAGAAUUAACAGAGGAAGUUGUCAUAAAACCAACCAUCUUGAGCAAAGCUAACAUUUCCAGACUUUAAUGGCCCCUUUAAUGUGCACAUUUGUAUGAGUUCUGAGGUCUUGAUUUUUAUGUGCCAUCACGAGCCCAU